GCCGCCCUGACGGCCUCUGAAUGGUUUGCAAGUUGUUCGGAUGCUCUUCUGACCCCUAGACAGCGCCUCGCCCAAAGCUGAACCUACUACAGGCACAGCCCAGAGAUCACCUACAAGACCCUUUGCUGCCACCUGCUGGAGAACUCUCAGAAUAAAUAUCCACUUUUGCCACCAAUUGUUGGAGGCCGUGAAGCCAUUACUCAGAUGCGUUACAGUGGAAAUGAGAAGCACUCCUCUGAAUCAGGAAGGUGCCGGUGCCUCCUUAGAGCGGGUGUUCUCGCGGUCAGGGAGCCCGUAAGUCUCCCCGCUCCUGCUGCCUGGCCUGGACCAAUCGUGAAGAAAGAAAGAGUCGGACCGAGGAGGACCAGGCGGCGGGCGUGAAACGAGCACCCAGAUGUAGACCCCGCCACGCCCUGGUUCCCUGGCGGGCCGCGAAGGCUGUCCGAGGGUGGCAAGCGCCGCCGGCCCAGAGAGGGUCAGGGCAAACCCGUGUUUGCACCGUCUCUGUCCAGUGGCCAGGUCAGGCCAUCGGAGAAGCCCCUGUCCUCCCCAGGAUGGUGGGGGGAGGCGCAUUUCCCAGCCUCUGCCCUCCUUUUCACCUUGGCCGUGGUCGCUCAGGGUGUGGCUGCCCCUGGGGGGGGGAGUGGGCGCUCAAGACCCCAGCCCGUCAGCCCACUCCCCUCUUUGCAGGGCCCUUGUCCAGCACUCACGGCCCCGUGGUGCCCCCUGGGAACCCCCCGGCUCUGAAAUGUAUCAGGGUGGGACACGGGUGAAAGCAGCUGGGAUUCUGGCAGGUCUGCUCGCGGUCUGGCUUCCGUCAGGAGUCUCAGGGUGGCAACUGUGUCCCAUGCAGACGUUCCCACCUGCUACCCGUCCGUGCUCACUGGCUGGAGCGUCUCUGCAGAAAGAAACUCCUGUCUCCUACUGUUUGGUUACCCAGUGUCCCUGUCUGUGUAGCAAAAGCAGGAUAAAUGCUUGAUUCUUUUUUUUUUUUUCAAUUUAAUAAUUCUCCAAAUCUUGGAUACUUAAGUCGCUUCCAAUUUUUCACAAUUAUUCCCUUCUUUCCUUUUUUUGCUAUUGAGGUAGAAUACACAUGCCGUAAAAGUUAUCACCUGAGCCAUUUCUUGAAGAGUACAGUUCAGUGGCAUUAGGUGCAUUCGUGACCAUAACCCUUCAUCUUGUAAACAGAAACAGUACCCAUGGAACCACAACUGUCCCCCUGCCCCCAGCCCUGGCACCACCCUUCUACUUUCUGUCUCUAUAAUUUUGACGACUCCAGGUGCCUCAUAUGAGUGGAAUCCUGCAGUCUUGUCUUUUUGAGACUGGCUGACCUCACUGAGCAGUUUGUCGUCCAGUUUCAUCCAUGGUGGUAGCACAUGUCAUAACUGCCUUCCUCUUUAAGGCUGAAUAAUGUCCCAUCGUAUGUACAGACCACAGUUUGCUUAUUGACACAUCCAUCCGUGGACACUUGGGUUGCUCCCAUGUUUUAGCUAUUCUGAAUAAUGCUGCAUUGAACAUGGGUGUACAAAUAUCUAUUCGAGUCCUUGCUUUCCAUUGUUUUGUGUAUACACCUGGAAGUGGAAUUGCUGGAUCACGUGGUGAUUAUAUUUUUAACUUUUUGAGGACCCUCCGUACUGUUUCCGCAGCAGUUGUACCAUUUUACAUUCGCACCAACAGGGCACAAGGGUUCCAUUACUCCACACCCUCACCAGCACUUGUUAUUUUCUGGUUUUCUCAUAGUAGCCGUGCAGACGGAUGUGAGGAGGUAUCUCGCUGUAGUUUUGAUUUGCAUUUCCCUAACGAUUAGUGGUGUUGAGCACAUUUUUGUGCACUUAGUGGCCAUUUGAAUGUCUUCUUUGGAGAAAUGUCUAUUCAAGUCCUUUGCCCAUUAUUGAAUUGGGUUGUUUGUUUUGUAGUU